UCGCGGCCAGCCGGGGCCGACGCACCGAGCCGCCGCCCCUGUCACGCCGGGGCAGCGGUCGCCGAACGCUGCCCCGCGGCCCCCCCGCCUCCUCCUCCUCCGCCCGCGGAGCCGCGGGCGACGCGCAGGCAAAAAUCCCUUUCAGAACCAAGGAAGGAGGCAACAACGUUUUUACAGUCCUGAGAAGUGCCUGUUACUAGAAAUUAUUUUCACUUUGUUCCUGAAAAGUAUGCCAAGUUUACUGGUGUUUGCUGGUGAUGUUACAAAUAGAAGCAGGACUGGCAGAAGGGAGCAUGAGCUUUCCAGUGGAACAUGUGACAGCAGGGACCUGCUCCAGGAGUCUCAACUGGGGCAUCUCUGAAUGGGAGAUGCUGGACUGGUGACUGAAAUUGUUUAGAAAAAACUACAUCUGUGAGUUGCUGUAUGUAUAAGCCUGUACCGGACUCAUUUAGACUUGGUACUCUGAACAGACAAAGGUAAUCUAAGAUCAGGUAAUCUCUAAAAAUGCUGUGGGUUCACACUACCUGAUUUCAGAGAGCAACUUUGUAUUUCUAAAUUAAAAAGAAUGUCCCUGAUGUCAAGAAGGACUUAUACUGGGAACGUAAGAGGAAUAUAUAUGGCUUAUAUUCACACUAGUUCCCUAUAGAGCAGACUCCCAUAUUCACAUCCCACAGUGCUCCUUGGACUCCUUCUGGUGCCCAUCUAGAGCCAACAUGCAAUUCUGAUUUUUCUGUGUUAUCUUCCAGUUUGAAGUUUGUGAAAUGGUGUGAAACUGUCCCACAGGCUGUGAGAAGGGUGCUUUCCUAGCAUCAGAGUGAGGUACGUGUUGCACACUCUGGGAUAUGGUAAGCUUUGAGGGCGCAGCCAGCUUGGCUGGUUUAGAAGAGCACGUCUUGUGAAGUCAAGCAAGAUGUGACCUUGGGAGUGCUGCUUGGUGCUGUCCUUGCAGCAGUGGGAAGCCAUUGCUUUCAGGAGGGCUUGUGGAGGUGUGGGAGCAGCAGCAGGGGCCUGAGCUUUGCUCCCAAACUGCCACAGUUAACAACAUGCCCAGAGGGAUCCCGAACGUCUCUCUGCUGCCGGCGCCACCUCGGUGUGGUGAAGCUCAGGGUCCUGGUUUCACCUGCCAGAGUUACACAGAAAAGAAAAAUGCAUCUCCAGAGAACAACUGUGUGACAUAUUCUAGACAAUAAAAUGUUAAAAUAAGAUCAACUGCCUUGUGCAUGUACUUUUUCUGUGCCAACUGACCAUAAGGCGAGCCUGUGAAGAUUAACUCAGGUUUAGAUGCCUGAUUAGUAUCUGUUUCAAUCUUGGAGAUAAUCCCAAAUUUUAU